rnacentral:tRNA from 1 species
GCAGGUAGCGGCAUUAUUCGACGCUACGAGAAACAAUUCGAAGGAACUUCUAAUCCGACGGCCGCAGGUUCGAAUCCUGCCAGGUGCA